rnacentral:misc_RNA from 1 species
GAUGAAGAACGUAGCGAAAUGCGAUAAGUAAUGUGAAUUGCAGAAUUCAGUGAAUCAUCGAAUCUUUGAACGCACAUUGCGCCCGCCAGCAUUCUGGCGGGCAUGCCUGUUCGAGCGUCAUUUCAACCCUCGAGCCCCCCCGGGGGCCUCGGUGUUGGGGGACGGCACACCAGCCGCCCCCGAAAUGCAGUGGCGACCCCGCCGCAGCCUCCCCUGCGUAGUAGCACACACCUCGCACCGGAGAGCGGAGGCGGUCACGCCGUAAAACGCCCAACUUUCUUAGAGUUGACCUCGGAUCAGGUAGGAAUACCCGCUGAACUUAAGCAUAUCAAUAAGCGGAGGA